rnacentral:rRNA from 2 species
AGAGUUUGAUCAUGGCUCAGGAUGAACGCUAGCGGCAGGCCUAACACAUGCAAGUCGAGGGGCAGCAGGGGUAGCAAUACCCGCUGGCGACCGGCGCACGGGUGCGUAACGCGUAUGCAACCUGCCCUGCACCGGGGGAUAGCCCGCCGAAAGGCGGAUUAAUACCCCAUGUACCCGGUUGUCCGCAUGGGCAAGCGGGUAAAGCCGAGGCGGUGCGGGAUGGGCAUGCGUGCCAUUAGCUGGCUGGUGGGGUAACGGCCCACCAGGGCUACGAUGGCUAGGGGGUCUGAGAGGAUGGUCCCCCACACUGGUACUGAGACACGGACCAGACUCCUACGGGAGGCAGCAGUGAGGGGUAUUGGUCAAUGGGCGGAAGCCUGAACCAGCCAUGCCGCGUGCGGGAUGAAGGCCCUACGGGUUGUAAACCGCUUUUCCGGGGGAAGAAUAUGCCCGACGAGUCGGGCGAUGCCGGUACCCCGGGAAUAAGGAUCGGCUAACUCCGUGCCAGCAGCCGCGGUAAUACGGAGGAUCCGAGCGUUAUCCGGAUUUACUGGGUUUAAAGGGUGCGUAGGCGGCCCGGGCAAGUCAGCGGUGAAAUGAGGCGGCUCAACCGUUUCGCUGCCGUUGAUACUGCGGGGCUUGGAUACGGUCGGGGCGGGUGGAAUUCGUGGUGUAGCGGUGAAAUGCAUAGAUAUCACGAGGAACGCCGGUAGCGAAGGCAGCUCGCCGGGCCGAGAUCGACGCUGAGGCACGAAAGCGUGGGGAUCAAACAGGAUUAGAUACCCUGGUAGUCCACGCCGUAAACGAUGAUGGCUGGGUUUUCGUCCGUAAGGGCGAGGGCCUGAGGGAAACCAUUAAGCCAUCCACCUGGGGAGUACGGCCGCAAGGCUGAAACUCAAAUGAAUUGACGG